CAGGGAAUCUUGCGCAAUGGACGGGAGUCCGACGCAGCGACGCCGCGUGGGUGAAGACGGCCUUCGGGUUGUAAAGCCCUUUUCUGGGGGAAGAGAGAGGACGGUACUCCAGGAAUAAGUGUCGGCUAACUACGUGCCAGCAGCCGCGGUAAUACGUAGGACACGAGCGUUAUCCGGAUUUACUGGGCGUAAAGCGCCUGUAGGCGGUUCUUCAAGUCGUUUGUGAAAGCCCUGGGCUCAACCUGGGGAGGCCAAGCGAUACUGGAGGACUUGAGGGUGACAGAGGGUAGUGGAAUUUCCGGUGUAGCGGUAAAAUGCGCAGAUAUCGUGAGGAACACCAGUGGCGUAGGCGGCUCCCUGGGUCACCCCUGACGCUGA
rnacentral:rRNA from 1 species